UAAAUGAUCAUUGGAGUAUGCAACUGGGUGCAAGGAGCAAUUUUACUCCAAAGACAUAUUUGUGAAUCGGAUCUAAUUUUUCCUUUUCCUGCUGUUGGUCACAGCCAGUCACAUAAGUGGGAAAGCAGCAUGCAUUGUCAUCUGCAGUUCUAAGGUAUAGUAAUUUGUCUUAUGUAAUUAUUAGACAUACAUACAAAAUAAACGAAAAAGGGAAAAAGAAAGCCAUUCUUGCAGCACAAUGCGAAUUGUGGCACUGUUAGCUGGUAGCAGCGACUUUAAGAAACUUUUAACACAUACGUUUGUCCUUUUAGAAUGAGGAAGUACAAAACACAUAGUUAUUUCAAUAUAUUAAUAUAAAAGUAUGAAAUAAAAUAUAAAUUCGUAUUUAGUUAGUUUGUAAGUAUAAUUUUUAAUUGAUAAAUGAACUUUAUUCUUUAUUUUUUUAACCUCUUUCAAGGUAAUGCUUGGGUUCUUAAAAGCAAGAGAAAAAAAUAGAUUAGCUAUGUUGAAAUGGUUGAGGAAAAUCUAAUAAGG
rnacentral:lncRNA from 1 species